AGAGUUUGAUCAUGGCUCUUAACGAACGCUGGCGGCAGGCUUAACACAUGCAAGUCGAGGGAGAAACCACUUCGGUGGUGGAAACCGGCGCACGGGUGCGUAACGCGUGGGAAUCUACCCUAAGGCGGGGAAUAACGCAGAGAAAUUUGUGCUAAUGCCCCAUAAUGGCUCCGGCCCAAAGCUCCGGCGCCUUAGGAUGAGCCCGCGUUGGAUUAGGUAGUUGGUGGGGUAAAAGCCUACCAAGCCGACGAUCCAUAGCUGGUCUGAGAGGAUGAUCAGCCACACUGGUACUGAGACACGGACCAGACUCCUACGGGAGGCAGCAGUGAGGAAUAUUGGACAAUGGGGGCAACCCUGAUCCAGCCAUGCCGCGUGAGUGAAGAAGGCCUUCGGGUUGUAAAGCUCUUUCAGGUGGGACGAUUAUGACGGUACCACCAGAAGAAGCCCCGGCUAAAUUCGUGCCAGCAGCCGCGGUAAUACGAAUGGGGCAAGCGUUGUUCGGAAUCACUGGGCUUAAAGCGUGUGCAGGCGGCUAUUCAAGUCAGGAGUGAAAUCCCGAGGCUCAACCUCGGAACUGCUUCUGAAACUGAAUGGCUAGAAUCCGGGAGAGGUCAGUAGAAUUCCGAGUGUAGAGGUGAAAUUCGCAGAUAUUCGGAGGAAUACC
rnacentral:rRNA from 1 species